GCCAGGAGAGCAGGGAGGAAAGUAUGCUGACUCAAGCGCUACACGGUAGUUGUGAGGAAAAUGAUUGAUCAGACAAGCUGUUGGGAUGUCAGAGGGAGAUUCAGCACCGACGAGGUCAGAACUCUUGUAAGAUCCAUGUAAAGCAGUCCACUUAAAAGCAGGGGAGUAAAAUCCUAUUCCAUUCUUCACUGCCUUUUUGUUUGUCUCUGUUACAGUCAUAUUAUUUUCUGUACUCCUUGGGUUGUUUAAAAGUCACUCAUUGUCAUAAUCAGCACUGUAUUUUUUCUGUGUUUAUUUAUGAUACCAGUAUGAACACAUUUUAUAAGUGUUUUUACUGAAAGAACUGUUUGGUCUGUUAUUAACUUGGAUUAAUAGUAUUUAUCUUCAAAAAUUUAUGUAACACAUUUGAGAACCCAUAUCCUAGACAAGCCCGAUGUGGUCCAUUUAAAAAUCUAAGCUGCUGUGUGUGAUUCAUUUCUUUAGAUUGUUAAUAUAUUGUACAGUGAAAUUAUAUGUUGAAUAAUAUAGUAAAAGCCUGAUAAUGUAACAUCUUAUUUCAAUUCCAGUGCUGUCUCCUGCAAUUUCUGCCCAGAAGUGAAUAAAAUAAUAAAAUAGUUGGUUGGAUAGUUCUCUGAGUGAACUCCAGUGCACUUGGAUUUUAGUUUAAUGCAUUAAUAGUGAAAAUAGUAAGCAGCAUAACUGAUCAUGUAAAAAAUCAUGAAUAGCAGCACAAGUUCAGGUUUUGUUCAGUAGAAAUUCAUCGACUGCGGUUAUGGAUUUUUAUCUUGUGUUAGGAAUAUUCUCCACAGUUGUUCAUCAGCUCUAUGUGACCCCGAAGGUGGCAAAAGGGCUCGUCCGGGAUUUGAACCCGGGACCUCUCGCACCCUAAGCGAGAAUCAUACCCCUAGACCAACGAGCCUCCAUACUGUGUUGUUCACAUCUGCAAUUCUGUGCAGCAAAGAGCUGUGUUUAAAUUGUUCCAACUGAUGAUGUGGCAAAUUGGGGCUCCACUUUUUGUCUAAUCAAACAGCACCCUCUGGUGGUGUUAUAUGUUUUUCCUGCAGUGUGCUACAUGCUACACUGAACUCUAAAAAGUUCCUCCCCACAGACAUCCUUAAAACACUCACAGAUCUAUACACUGAACCCACAUUGAAGUCUGUCAUAUUUUCAUGUGACCCAGGAAAGCAGGUCUUUACCUUGACUUGAAACUGUUUACCUUGGAGUUUGUCAAAGUUGUUGCUGCUGACAGCAAUUCUCUUGUCAGAUUUAGAGUCAAUUAUUUCCUGGCUUUCGUGAAUUUUGAGUGUACUGAUUGAACCCAGGGCCUCUUGCACCCAAAGCGAGAAUCAUACCCCUAGACCAACAAGCCACCUACAGGAUGCACCUCUGUGUCAACAACAUGUUCUUUCAGGGUUGACAGAACAUUUCAGAUUGUUGAUGUGGUAUUGCCUCACAUUCCAUCUCAUAAACUGGCACCCUGUCAGCAUGGUUCGUUCAUGUCAUGUGAGGUGUUUUGACACAACAAUCAGGUCUAAUUUAGUAGUGUACCAAACAAUACAAAAAAAGUGCAUUUACAGAUAAUAGUUUUUUUGUAGCAUUUAUUUUGUGCACUCUUUUUGAGACAGAAAACGUAAGAUCUACUCAAAUGAACUUAGGCAAUACUGAACAUAAAAUGUACAGUGCAAAAACAUCAGUUGCUGAAGAAACAGGGUCAAAGAAAAUAUGUGUAAUGUUUAUAGUGCGAAGGUUAACGUGCAAAACAAAGUGAGUGAGAUUUGUCAAGAAUGGAAUAUCGUAGGGUCUGUGAUUAAACUCUACUGGCCGUGAAUGUAGCUUCUUUUUUCCUCUUUAUUGUUUCUGCUCUGUUUGCAGUGUUUGCUUAAGUCUCAAAUACAGUGUGUCUGACAGGGUGUGAUGAAUAAGAUUCACUUGAAAUUAUUAUAAUAAAGAAAACUUCUUGUUGGCCACAAGUACACUUGACAUAAAGACCCAACCAAUUCAACAACUAAAUUCUUUCAUUUUUUCAUACACUGUUUUGUUUUCAUUGUUGUUGACUCAAUGUUUUUUAUGCAUUUUUUAUUGUUGUUAUAGAUAAACUAUAGGGAUGUCAGUGAGACGUUCAGAACAGAAGAAGCCAAAGUCCUCAUGAGAUCUAUUUGAAACACAGUCCUCUUAAAUGCAGAUUGAUUUGAGGUGAAACAGACGGCUUGUCCGGGAUUUCAACAUGGGGCCUCUCACACCGUGAGCGAUAAUCAUACCCCGAGACCAACAAGUCACACAUACAUCUGUUCACAUCUGUAAUUCUAUGCAGUGAAGUGCUGUAAUCGAUCUGUUGAAACGUGGCGACUUGGAGCUCCACACUUGGUGGUCAAAUGUCAGUACAGCUACAGGUGAUUUCUCGUUGGUAUCAUGUUGAAAUCCAUUUUGUUUUUUAUGUAAAUCGGAUUCUUCUGUACAAGCUCCUGUGAAUCUGACCAGCUAUGACAAGAAUUCUUUUUGUCACAGCACUGAUGGAAAACGCAGCAACUUAAGGUUUCACUUGAACUUAAUUCUGUUUAGAUUUCUGUGAGGUUAAAGAAGGGCUCGUCCGGGAUUUGAACCCAGGACCUCUCGCACCCUAAGCGAGAAUCAUACCCCUAGACCAACGAGCCACAUGUGCUGUUGUUCACAUCUGCAACUGUCUCUGCAAAGACCACUAAUUAAAGGGUUUAAAUGGUUAUGUGGCAGCUUGGAGCCGUACAUGUGUGGUCCAACAGCACCCUCUGGUGGAGCACUUCCUAGGUUAGGUUUACAGUUUUUUUUACAAUUGCUUAAACACAAUUUUGAAAACAGGGCUCGGAAUUUCAAAAGACUACACACAAUUAGCACAACCACACACACAGUAUGGAAAACACUUCAGAUCUUGUGCAAAAUGAAACACUAUUGUGAAAACUAUAUACACCUUUAUAAAAACCAUACUAUGUUACCAUAUGAAACACACACAUUUCAUCAGGCUUAGUUCUGUUUGAACCAGUUACACACUGCUGUGUUUAACUUAAAACACUUUUGGCAGUUCUACCUCUGGUAUCUCAAUCUCAAUUCUACCUUUGGCAAUUCUACCUCUGGACCUCUCAGUGAAUAGAUUACUGUAAGUGAAGUACACAGAGAAAGUGCAAAUAUACAACAUGGUAAAUUCAAACACAUCACAAGAUCAAUGCUGCAGACUUUUGAAAAUAUGAUUUAAUUUUCUUCAUAUAACCACAUUCAGUCAACAUAGACAAUCACAAGAAAACAUCCCAACACUGUAAACCCACAAAAUAGACAAAUAAAAAUACUGUACUACCAGUACAGGUUAAAAUAUGUAAAGAAAAUGAAGAAAACAAAAAGAAAUCUGAGUAAAAUAAAUUAAAUACUAAACAUCUCUCCGCCUAGCUGGAUCUGGCCAGAGAAUUUCAUCUACAUCACAGGCAAUAUCUUCGUUGGCAAGAGAACGUGGGAAGAACCGUCUUGAAUGACGGAUCCAUCCUUGCACAGCUGCAGCGUCAAUUUGGUCACAAGCCUCUUCCAUGGCCUGAAUGAGGGGCAUCUGAGUCUGGGGCCGGAGAUCAUAAACUUUCCACCGCCAUGCAGAGAAAAUUCUUCGAUGGGGUUUAGAAAUGGAGAGCAUGGUGGAAGGUAUAGGACUGUAAACAGUGGAUGGUGCUGAAACCAGUUCUGGACCAGAGCAGAGUGGUGGAAUGACACAUUGUCCCAGAUGACAAUGUAGUGGAUCUGGUGCAUUUGGUUAUUUACUGGGAGGAGGUUGUGCAAUCUGUCCAAAAAUCUGAUCAUUUGAUCUGUGUUGUAAGGGCCCAUAUUGGCAUGACGGUGGAGGACCCCAUUCAGGAAAAUGGCUGCGCAAAGGGUGAUGUUACCCCCACGUUUAUGGAAAUAAUUUCCUAUCAUAAUUCAAGAGCAUUAUAAAAUUGAUUUGAGGGCAGCAUUUAUCGAUUUCAUUCUCAGAUUUCGUGAUAUUGUCUCUCAGAACUCUGCUCUCGCGCUCAAAUUUGCUCUGCUUGUGCUCAAACUGUGUCCUCGCUCUCGGUUACGAUGCUGCUCGCGCAGAUUUCUUGCGCUCAAACUCAAACUCUUCCUCUUGCUCUCACAGAACUUCUGCUCACGGAUCUCUCUGCUCUGCUCUCGGAUUUUUGUGUUUCAACGCUGUCAACCAAUAGAAGGCCAGCGAGCUUUGACCAAUCACAUUAUCCCUGUUUGUAUACGGGUGCGUUCGCUGUUUUUCCGAGGAGCGUCGCAUAAGGGCGUGCACUCUUUCAACAGGUUUUAUCCACUCCCUACCUCCGGGGCUGUAAUAAAUGUGAUGUCUUUUAAUUU